rnacentral:rRNA from 1 species
UACGUAGGGUGCAAGCGUUGUCCGGAAUUACUGGGCGUAAAGAGCUCGUAGGUGGUUUGUCGCGUUGUUCGUGAAAACUCACAGCUCAACUGUGGGCGUGCGGGCGAUACGGGCAGACUUGAGUACUGCAGGGGAGACUGGAAUUCCUGGUGUAGCGGUGAAAUGCGCAGAUAUCAGGAGGAACACCGGUGGCGAAGGCGGGUCUCUGGGCCGAUACUGACGCUGAGGAGCGAAAGCAUGGGUAGCGAACAGG